rnacentral:rRNA from 1 species
CCUACGGGGAGCAGCAGUGGGGGAUAUUGCACAAUGGGGGGAACCCUGAUGCAGCGACGCCGCGUGGGUGAAGGAGCGUUUCGGCGCGUAAAGCCCUAUCGGCAGGGAAGAAGGAGGACGGUACCUGACUAAGAAGCCCCGGCUAACUACGUGCCAGCAGCCGCGGUAAUACGUAGGGGGCAAGCGUUAUCCGGAUUUACUGGGUGUAAAGGGGGCGCAGACGGCAGCGCAAGCCAGGAGUGAAAGCCCGGGGGCCAACCCCGGGACUGCUCUUGGGAAUGCGGGGCUGGAGUGCAGGGUGGGCAGGCGGGAAUCCUGGGUGAGCGGUGAAAUGCGUAGGAAUCAGGGGGGAAACCCGGGGCGGAGGCGGGCCUCUGGGACUGGACUGGCGGUUGGGGCCGAAA